AAUGGCUAGGACAAAGGGUCGCGAUCCUGCGAGGGUGAGCUAACUCUAAAACCCGUCCUCAGAUUGGAUUGCAGGCUGCAACUCGCCCUCAAUGAA
rnacentral:ncRNA from 1 species